rnacentral:rRNA from 1 species
UACGAAGGGGGCUAGCGUUGUUCGGAAUUACUGGGCGUAAAGCGUGCGCAGGCGGCUAUCCAAGUCAGUGGUGAAAGCCCGGAGCUCAACUCCGGAAUUGCCAUUGAAACUGUUUAGCUUGAGUACGAGAGAGGUGAGUGGAAUACCCAGUGUAGAGGUGAAAUUCGUAGAUAUUGGGUAGAACACCGGUGGCGAAGGCGGCUCACUGGCUCGUAACUGACGCUCGGGCACGACAGCGUGGGGAUCAAACAGG